rnacentral:tRNA from 1 species
AAAUAAGAAACAAUAAAUUGUUUUUAGUUUCGACCUAAAAUUAUGAUUCUGCGGGGAGUCCUUAUUUA